rnacentral:rRNA from 1 species
UACGUAGGGUGCAAGCGUUGUCCGGAAUUAUUGGGCGUAAAGAGCUUGUAGGCGGUUUGUCGCGUCUGCUGUGAAAAUUUCGGGGCUCAACCCCGAACUUGCAGUGGGUACGGGCAGACUAGAGUGUGGUAGGGGAGACUGGAAUUCCUGGUGUAGCGGUGAAAUGCGCAGAUAUCAGGAAGAACACCCGUGGCGAAGGCGGCCUCUCUGGGACGUGACUGACGCUGAGACGCGAAAGCGUGGGGAGCAAACAGG